AGCUCUACUUUCUCAAGACUCUACUUUGUUGACAGAAGAAUCCAGAAGAGAACUGGUCAACUCUUGAAAUUUUAAGUCAUGGCCCAAGAGCUGGUAACGUUCAGAGAUGUGGCUAUAGACUUCUCUGAGGAAGAGUGGGAGUGCCUGAAUAUGGAACAGAGGACUUUAUACACAGAUGUGAUGAUGGAGACCUACAGCCACCUCAUCUCAGUGGGAUUCUGUGUUCAUCUGCCACACCUGUUCUCCUUAUUAGAAAAAAGAAAAGACCCCAGGAUGAUUUUGAUGGAUGAGACAAGAGGACUUUAUCCAGGUGAGUGAGGGCUAAGGUAGAAUGGGACAGUCAUCAGUAUAGAUGACAGCUGUCCUAGUCAGGGUUUCUAUUGCUGCAGUGAAACACCAUGACCAAAAGCAGGCUAGGAAGGAAAGGGUUUAUUUGGCUUAUAUUUCUAGAUCAUAGUCCAUCAUUAGAGGAAGUCAGAACAGGAACUCAAGCAGAGCAGGAUCCUGGAGGCAGGAGCUGAUGCGGAGGCCAUGGGGGUUGCUGCUUACUGUCUUGCUCCUUGUGUCUUGCUCAGCCUGCUUUCUUAUAGAACCUAGGACCACCAGGUACCACCCACAAUGGGUUAGGCCCUUCCUCAUUGGUCACUAAUGGAGAAAGUGCCUUACAGCUGGAUCUUAUGGAGGCAUUUUCUCAGUUGAGGUUCCUUCUAUUCAGAUAACUCUAACUUAUGUCAAAUGGACAUAGAAUGAGCCAACACAAUAGCCUAGCUUCUUCAUGGGCAAGAAUACCAUUGAAAUAGCUUUUCACUGGCCAAAGGCUUGACACAGAUGUGGUUUAUAGGGCAAAACCUUUUCAGAUUAACUUUCUUUUCACUUCCAGUACUAAUGGAAGCUAUUGGGGUCCAGCCUCUAGAUAGCCGUCACCCAGAGUUCCAGAAGAGAAGCUACCAGCAACAGAUUAAUCCGAGGGGUUGACUAACAAAUCUA